rnacentral:rRNA from 1 species
GGAAUAUUGCACAAUGGGGGGAACCCUGAUGCAGCCAUGCCGCGUGUGUGAAGAAGGCCUUCGGGUUGUAAAGCACUUUCAGUAUGGAGGAAGUUAAGGCAGUUAAUAAGUGCCUUGAUUGACGUUACAUACAGAAGAAGCACCGGCUAACUCCGUGCCAGCAGCCGCGGUAAUACGGAGGGUGCGAGCGUUAAUCGGAAUAACUGGGCGUAAAGAGCUCGUAGGCGGUUAGUCAAGUCAGAUGUGAAAGCCCCGGGCUUAACCUGGGAACUGCAUUUGAAACUGACGAACUAGAGUACUGUAGAGGGAGGUAGAAUUCCAGGUGUAGCGGUGAAAUGCGUAGAUAUCUGGAGGAAUACCGGUGGCGAAGGCGGCCUCCUGGACAGAGACUGACGCUGAGGAGCGAAAGCGUGGGGAGCAAACA